GACCAAUAUAGAAUGUAAUGACAUUCUGAAUAGCAUAAUAGGAAAAGUUGUACUGUACUAAUUUGAUUUAAAACGAACAAUAUCACAUUAUACCUAUAGGAGUAUCAUUGGAUUGUUGCCCAUCAACGAAUAUCACAUUAUACCUAUAGGAAUAUCAUUGGAUUGUUGCCCAUCAACGAAUAUCACAUUAUACCUAUAGGAAUAUCAUUGGAUUGUUGCCCAUCAACGGAUAACAGAGCCAUUGGCAUAACGAGACGACUGUUACGAUAGCGGAUUGAUGGUAUGGACCCGGUCGAAUGCAUUAGCCCCUGAUCUACGGUGUUGUCUAUU
rnacentral:lncRNA from 1 species